CGACGGCAUCGUUUGUGGGGUGCCCCGGGCGACCGGGGAGAAUCGGGAAGCCGGUGUGAGUCCGGCACGGGCCCGCCGCGGUAACCGGGAAGUCGCUGUCCACGCGCCACGCGCAGCCACUGGGCCUCAGGGCCUGGGAAGGCGGACAGCCGGCGUCGAUCCGGGAGUCCGAAGACCGGCCCCGCACGGGUGCCGCCC
rnacentral:ncRNA from 2 species